rnacentral:lncRNA from 1 species
AGUAGGUUCUGACAGUUUCAUCCAUCACAAUACAGGCCUCACCAUGUCACUGCCUCAGACUGAUAAAUGCAAAAUGACAGUCAUUCAUCCGGUGGAAUAGAAGAAGCCAGGGAAAAUACAAUGUGAAGUCACUUAUGCCGUCUGAUAUAGCUUUGCAAUGUGUAUCUUUUCUCUCCUCUAUCUUUUGUUGUGUGUGUGUACAUGCCAGCAUGAUUAUAUUCUUUGCAAAAAUAUAUACAAGACAACACAUUUCCCAAAAAUGAAAAAGUAUGAAUUUAGAAAGAUUAUAGCUACAUUAAAAUGGAUUCAGAUUCUGCUAUGACAUAAAUAGAAUUAGUUAAAGAUUAAGGUUAGAAAGUAAAUGUCACUUCUUAACUUUUUCUCUUUCUUUCUAUUGAGGAGCACAAUCUAAAAUUUGUAGGAAAAUAGAGUAUAAAAGUAAUGUACAAUUAUGGCACUUAUACUAAUUUUUUUCUUUUAUACAACAAUUCUACAAAAAUAAUGACUAUAUGUACACAUUAAAGGAAACAUUUGUAGAUUUACUGAAAAAUAGGUAUUAAUAAUAUGGAUAUCAACAGCUGUGUACCUUUAAUUUAAAAAUUAAAAAAAUAAAAAUAACACAGUAAACUGAAAGUCUCCAUUCUCUCAUCUUCCUUUUCCUAUGUUUAUUUUUAAACAAAUUAUACUGCGUAUAUCAAUAUCUAUUAGGGUCAUUUGUUGACUUAGCAAUAAAUUUGAUUAUUGGUUUAGAUAUCUUACAGAUAUAUGGAAUCUCUAAUAUACACAUUUUUGUUUAAUAUGUUACUGAGAAAGACAGCUCAAGUGAUAGAAAUAACACAGGACGGGAAGUAAGAAGACAGUUCUGGUCUGAAGUUCUUCUCUGACAGCUCAUAAACUAGUUAAUAUAUGUGCCUGUCACAGUCUCCACCAGGAGCUUUAUCUUACUACAGAGUCCAGAUGCAUUAAGCCUGUGUUCUAGCCAUGAUCUUCCUCUGAAGAAGAAAUGAAGAAGAAAUUUAUAUUCUUUUUGGAUAUAGUGUUCUUAGUUGGCAGUUUAAUUAUUAUUUUUACUUCAUCACUUUGUAUAUACAUCAUCACACUUUCUCUUGGCCUAUAAGAUCUCUUCUGAGAAAUUUUACGUUCUACUUUGCUGGAACUUCAUUAAAUAUUAUUUGCAUCAUUUUU